rnacentral:rRNA from 1 species
GUCGCACGAGACGGAUUAAGCUUGCUUUAAUCGUCAGCUAAGUGGCGCACGGGUGAGUAAUAUAUAGGUAACAUGCCUUCGAGAAGGGGAUAACGUUUGGAAACGGACGCUAAUACCCUAUAUGCCUUUAAGUCUUAAGACUGCAAGGGAAAUAUUUAUAGCCCGAAGAUGGGCCUGUACAGUAUCAGUUAGUUGGUGAGGUAAUGGCUCACCAAGACAAUGACGCUUAACUGGUUUGAGAGGAUGAUCAGUCACACUGGAACUGAGACACGGUCCAGACUCCUGCGGGAGGCAGCAGUGGGGAAUAUUGCACAAUGGACGAAAGUCUGAUGCAGCAACGCCGCGUGGAGGAUGACACAUUUCGGUGCGUAAACUCCUUUUAUAUAGGAAGAUAAUGACGGUACUAUAUGAAUAAGCACCGGCUAACUCCGUGCCAGCAGCCGCGGUAAUACGGAGGGUGCAGGCGUUACUCGGAAUCACUGGGCGUAAAGAGAAUGUAGGCGGAUAGAUAAGUUUGAAGUGAAAUCCAAUGGCUCAACCAUUGAACUGCUUUGAAAACUGUUUAUCUAGAAUAUGGGAGAGGUAGAUGGAAUUUCUGGUGUAGGGGUAAAAUCCGUAGAGAUCAGAAGGAAUACCGAUUGCGAUGGCGAUCUACUGGAACAUUAUCGACGCUGA